UCGAGAGGCUUCGGCAAUGGGGGAAACCCUGACCGAGCGACGCCGCGUGGAGGAUGAAGGCCUUUGGGUUGUAAACUCCUUUUGUUCGGGAAGAAGUGCGAUCAGGUGAACAAUCUGGUCGUUUGACGGUACCGGACGAAUAAGCUCCGGCUAACUCCGUGCCAGCAGCCGCGGUAAUACAGAGGGUGCGAGCGUUAAUCGGAUUUACUGGGCGUAAAGCGUGUGUAGGUGGCUUUCUAAGUCGGUUGUGAAAUCCCUGGGCUCAACCUGGGAAUUGCAGUCGAUACUGGAAAGCUCGAGUUCGGUAGAGGACGGCGGAAUUCCCGGUGUAGCGGUGAAAUGCGUAGAUAUCGGGAGGAACAUCGAUGGCGAAAGCAACCGUCUGGGCCUGAACUGACACUGAGACACGAAAGCGUGGGGAGCAAA
rnacentral:rRNA from 1 species